rnacentral:misc_RNA from 1 species
AAGUCGUAACAAGGUUUCCGUAGGUGAACCUGCGGAAGGAUCAUUAACACGUGAUUUCUUCACGUUUUAAACCAACGUAACCGUAUUCCUGUUGUCGAGGAGAGUAGCUAACGAGCGAGAUGUACGCCUGAGAAUACUCGGCUUGCACGUUAACUGGGAGCCCUUCGUUCUUGUAAUGAAGAGGUUCUGCUCGGAGCGACUUCAGCGUAAUGAUUUCCUGUGAUCAGUGUUUGUACAUCGAUGUGAGCAGGAAACGCUUUAUUUUACCUUUCUUUUUUCUAACUAAUACUUUGUACAGUCUUUGAAUUCCUGGCUUCGGCUGGUCGAGUUCCAUUGAUUGUCGCAACAUUAAUUCGAAACAACUCGUAGCAACGGAUAUCUUGGUUCUC